rnacentral:misc_RNA from 1 species
UACGUAGGUGGCAAGCGUUGUCCGGAAUUAUUGGGCGUAAAGCGCGCGUAGGCGGUCUUUUAAGUCUGAUGUGAAAGCCCACGGCUCAACCGUGGAGGGUCAUUGGAGACUGGAAGACUUGAGUGCAGAAGAGAAGAGCGGAAUUCCACGUGUAGCGGUGAAAUGCGUAGAGAUGUGGAGGAGCACCAGUGGCGAAGGCGACUCUCUGGUCUGUCACUGACGCUGAGGCGCGAAAGCGUGGGGAGCAAACAGG